rnacentral:rRNA from 1 species
UGGGGAAUAUUGGACAAUGGGCGAAAGCCUGAUCCAGCCAUGCCGCGUGUGUGAAGAAGGUCUUCGGAUUGUAAAGCACUUUAAGUUGGGAGGAAGGGCAGUAAGCGAAUACCUUGCUGUUUUGACGUUACCGACAGAAUAAGCACCGGCUAACUCUGUGCCAGCAGCCGCGGUAAUACAGAGGGUGCGAGCGUUAAUCGGAUUUACUGGGCGUAAAGCGUGCGUAGGCGGCUAAUUGAGUCGGAUGUGAAAUCCCCGAGCUUAACUUGGGAAUUGCAUUCGAUACUGGUUAGCUAGGGUGUGGGAGAGGAUGGUAGAAUUCCAGGUGUAGCGGUGAAAUGCGUAGAGAUCUGGAGGGAUACCGAUGGCGAAGGCAGCCAUCUGGCCUAACACUGACGCUGAGGUACGAAAGCAUGGGGAGCAAACAGG